rnacentral:rRNA from 1 species
AACGAACGCUGGCGGCAGGCUUAACACAUGCAAGUCGAACGGAUCCUUCGGGAUUAGUGGCAGACGGGUGAGUAACGCGUGGGAACGUACCCUUUGCUACGGAAUAACUCAGGGAGACUUGAGCUAAUACCGUAUGUGCCCUACGGGGGAAAGAUUUAUCGGCAAAGGAUCGGCCCGCGUUGGAUUAGCUAGUUGGUGGGGUAAUGGCCUACCAAGGCGACGAUCCAUAGCUGGUCUGAGAGGAUGAUCAGCCACACUGGGACUGAGACACGGCCCAGACUCCUACGGGAGGCAGCAGUGGGGAAUAUUGGACAAUGGGCGCAAGCCUGAUCCAGCCAUGCCGCGUGAGUGAUGAAGGUCUUAGGAUUGUAAAGCUCUUUCACCGGUGAAGAUAAUGACGGUAGCCGGAGAAGAAGCCCCGGCUAACUUCGUG